rnacentral:rRNA from 1 species
CCUCGGGUGGCUGCAGUGGGGAAUAUUGCACAAUGGGCGCAAGCCUGAUGCAGCCAUGCCGCGUGUGUGAAGAAGGCCUUCGGGUUGUAAAGCACUUUCAGCGGGGAGGAAGGCGUUAAGGUUAAUAACCUUGUCGAUUGACGUUACCCACAGAAGAAGCACCGGCUAACUCCGUGCCAGCAGCCGCGGUAAUACGGAGGGUGCAAGCGUUAAUCGGAAUUACUGGGCGUAAAGCGCACGCAGGCGGUCUGUCAAGUCGGAUGUGAAAUCCCCGGGCUCAACCUGGGAACUGCAUUCGAAACUGGCAGGCUAGAGUCUUGUAGAGGGGGGUAGAAUUCCAGGUGUAGCGGUGAAAUGCGUAGAGAUCUGGAGGAAUACCGGUGGCGAAGGCGGCCCCCUGGGCAAAGACUGACGCUCAGGUGCGAAAGCGUGGGGAGCAAACAGGAUUAGAUACCCGAGUAGUC